rnacentral:rRNA from 1 species
CACGUAGGGGGCGAGCGUUGUCCGGAAUCAUUGGGCGUAAAGAGCUCGUAGGCGGCUCAGUAAGUCGGGUGUGAAACCCUCAGGCUCAACCUGGGGACGCCACCCGAUACUGCUGUGGCUAGAGUCCAGUAGGGGAGUGUGGAAUUCCUGGUGUAGCGGUGGAAUGCGCAGAUAUCAGGAAGAACACCCGUGGCGAAGGCGGUUCUCUGGGACGGUACUGACGCUGAGACGCGAAAGCGUGGGGAGCGAACAGG